rfam:Trichobilharzia regenti genome assembly, scaffold: TRE_scaffold0034633
CUGACGAGUCCCAAAUAGGACGAAAUGCGCAUC